CAAGAACAAUAACAACGAAUAAUGAACAAGCAAGAAAUACAAAAAACACAAGGUGCGCGCGGGUUUUCUAUUUCAAUUCUUCUUCUUCUUCUUUUUUCAUCUUUUCUUCCAUUUCUGCUUUAACUUUCUG
rnacentral:ribozyme from 13 species